GGCGAACGGGUGAGUAACACGUGGGUAACCUGCCCUGUACUCUGGGAUAAGCCUGGGAAACUAGGUCUAAUACCGGAUAUGACCUGCCUCUGCAUGGGGGUGGGUGGAAAGUUCCGGCGGUACAGGAUGGACCCGCGGCCUAUCAGCUUGUUGGUGGGGUAAUGGCCUACCAAGGCGACGACGGGUAGCCGGCCUGAGAGGGUGACCGGCCACACUGGGACUGAGACACGGCCCAGACUCCUACGGGAGGCAGCAGUGGGGAAUAUUGCACAAUGGGCGAAAGCCUGAUGCAGCGACGCCGCGUGAGGGAUGACGGCCUUCGGGUUGUAAACCUCUUUCAGCGGGGACGAAGGGCAACUGACGGUACCCGCAGAAGAAGCACCGGCUAACUACGUGCCAGCAGCCGCGGUAAUACGUAGGGUGCGAGCGUUGUCCGGAAUUAUUGGGCGUAAAGAGCUCGUAGGCGGUUUGUUGCGUCGGCUGUGAAAACUUCACGCUUAACGUGGAGCCUGCAGUCGAUACGGGCAGACUUGAGUUCGGCAGGGGAGACUGGAAUUCCUGGUGUAGCGGUGAAAUGCGCAGAUAUCAGGAGGAACACCGGUGGCGAAGGCGGGUCUCUGGGCCGAUACUGACGCUGAGGA
rnacentral:rRNA from 2 species